CCCUGAGACUUUAAGUCUCCUGAAGGAACGUUGAAGACGACGACGUUGAUAGGCCGGGUGUGUAAGCGCAGCGAUGCGUUGAGCUAACCGGUACUAAUGAACCGUGAGGCUUAACCUUA
rnacentral:rRNA from 1 species